GUGCCAGCCGCCGCGGUAAUACGUAGGGAGCAAGCGUUGUCCGGAAUUACUGGGCGUAAAGGGCGCGUAGGCGGAAUUUUAAGUCAGGUGUGAAAACGUAGGGCUCAACCUUACGAUGGCACUUGAAACUGGAAUUCUUGAGGUCAGGAGAGGAAAGUGGAAUUCCUAGUGUAGCGGUGAAAUGCGUAGAUAUUAGGAGGAACACCAGUGGCGAAGGCGACUUUCUGGACUGCACCUGACGCUGAGGCGCGAAAGCGUGGGUAGCGAACGGGAUUAGAUACCCCGGUAGUCCACGCCGUAAACGAUGGGUACUAGGUGUAGGAGGUAUCGACCCCUUCUGUGCCGCAGUUAACGCAAUAAGUACCCCGCCUGGGGAGUACGGCCGCAAGGUUGAAACUCAAAGAAAUUGACGG
rnacentral:rRNA from 1 species